AGCUCUUCUGAAAAACUCAGGUCCAUUGUCCUGAAAAUUUUAGUAGGGAAAAUAUUAUCAGUAAAUGAGAAAUCAAUAAACUCCUGAGCAUAAGCUGAAUUGAUGCUAACUUGGGUUCAGUGGGACAAAUAAUAUCUCAGUCAACUACCAGUAGUCUAAUUCAGCAUCUCUGGCAUGAUAAACUUCAACAACCUCUUAACUCAAUUUGUUCUCAGAGAAGACUCAGUAUCAGUUGCAAGAAGACUUUGUACCUACGAAAAAUACUUGCAGGAAAGAACAUGCAACCUAGGUCACCUUUAUCUAUUUAGCCAUCCAAAUCAAACAAUUACGCCAGGAUGAUCAGAGUAAGAAUCAGUAUUUAUGGUUGUUUAUUUAGCACUACCAGCUCAUUUUUACUGAAAAAAAGACCAUUUAUUUAUACCAUUGUUUUUCUUUGGGAAAUGAGGACAGAAGAUGCCCCAUUUUCUCACCUUUUUGCUAAUUUUCACUCCCAAUGAAUUGGUUUCCUGUUGUAUCGACAGUCUGAGUAUUAAGGGAUACACAUCUGACAUG
rnacentral:lncRNA from 1 species